rnacentral:misc_RNA from 1 species
CCGAGUUCGUGCCCUUCGGGGUAGACCUCCCACCCUGUGUUAUCGUUACCUUUGUUGCUUUGGCGGGCCGUCAGGCCUCGGCCUGGCUACCGGCUCCCCGCUGGUACGCGCCCGCCAGAGGACCCAAACCCUAAAUGUCAGUGUCGUCUGAGUACUUUAUAAUAGUUA